rnacentral:ncRNA from 1 species
AACGGGGUGCUUAUAUCAGGCUGUGUUCUGCCGCUAUAUCCGAUGGCAGAACACAGACUAAGCUGAGAAUGCGUUCAACUGCCUGAACCUUACCCGUAGAACCUGAUCCGGUUAGUGCCGGCGGAGGGAUUUGA